AUCAAUAAGCGGAGGAAAAGAAACCAACCGGGAUUGCCUCAGUAACGGCGAGUGAAGCGGCAAGAGCUCAAAUUUGAAAUCUGGCCCCUCCGGGGUCCGAGUUGUAAUUUGCAGAGGAUGCUUCGGGAGCGGUCCCCGUCUAAGUGCCCUGGAACGGGCCGUCAUAGAGGGUGAGAAUCCCGUCUGGGAUGGGCGGCCGCGCCCGUGUGAAGCGCCUUCGACGAGUCGAGUUGUUUGGGAAUGCAGCUCUAAGUGGGUGGUAAAUUUCAUCUAAAGCUAAAUACUGGCCGGAGACCGAUAGCGCACAAGUAGAGUGAUCGAAAGAUGAAAAGCACUUUGAAAAGAGAGUUAAACAGCACGUGAAAUUGUUGAAAGGGAAGCGUUGUCCACCAGACUCGCCCGGGGGGGUUCAGCCGGCACUCGUGCCGGUGUACUCUCCCCCGGGCGGGCCAGCAUCGGUUUGGGCGGCUGGUGAAAGGCCCCGGGAAUGUAACACCCUCCGGGGUGCCUUAUAGCCCGGGGUGUCAUGCGGCCAGCCUGGACCGAGGCCCGCGCUUCGGCGAGGAUGCUGGCGUAAUGGUGGUCAACGGCCCGUCUUG
rnacentral:rRNA from 1 species